rnacentral:rRNA from 1 species
UACGUAGGGUGCAAGCGUUGUCCGGAAUUAUUGGGCGUAAAGGGCUCGUAGGCGGUCCGUCACGUCGGGAGUGAAAACUUGGGGCUUAACCCCAAGCCUGCUUCCGAUACGGGCGGACUAGAGGUAGGCAGGGGAGAACGGAAUUCCUGGUGUAGCGGUGAAAUGCGCAGAUAUCAGGAGGAACACCGGUGGCGAAGGCG